UGUGGGAGCGAGCCUGCUCGCGAUUUAGUCGGCACAUCCAGCAUAGCCGGCUCAGGCAGACCGCUAUCGCGAGCAGGCUCGCUCCCACA
rnacentral:antisense_RNA from 1 species